rnacentral:sRNA from 1 species
AACACACAACAGCUGAGUUCGCGCACCUGAGAUGGGCGUGAAGCGGAGGACCCAAUCUAUUUGGGGUGAGUUCUGCCGUGCGUCAGGCAGAAGGGGUGAAGAUUCUCUCUUGCCACCCUAACCCGUCAGCUAACUUCGUAAGCUGCUGCGAGAGAGGUC